UCCUAGAGGUCCAAUGGUUAGAAUUUGGCACUUUCACUGCUGUGGCUCAGGUUCAAUCCUUGAUCAAGGAA
rfam:Ovis aries breed Texel chromosome 15, whole genome shotgun sequence.